rnacentral:rRNA from 1 species
AGAGUUUGAUCCUGGCUCAGAACGAACGCUGGCGGCGUGCUUAACACAUGCAAGUCGAACGCGAAAGGGACUUCGGUCCCGAGUAGAGUGGCGCACGGGUGAGUAACGCGUAAGUGAUCUACCCCUGUAUCUGGGAUAACUGUGGGAAACUGCAGCUAAUACCGGAUACGUUCAUGUUCUUGCGAGUAUAUGAAGAAAGAUGGCCUCUGAUUCAAGCUAUUGUACAGGGAGGAGCUUGCGUACCAUUAGCUAGUUGGUAGGGUAAUGGCCUACCAAGGCAACGAUGGUUAGCGGGUCUGAGAGGAUGAUCCGCCACACUGGAACUGAAACACGGACCAGACUCCUACGGGAGGCAGCAGUGAGGAAUAUUGCGCAAUGGGGGCAACCCUGACGCAGCGACGCCGCGUGGAUGAUGAAGGCCUUCGGGUCGUAAAAUCCUGUCAGAUGGGAAGAAGUGUGCGAUGGCUAAUACCUGUUGCAUUUGACGGUACCAUCAGAGGAAGCACCGGCUAACUCCGUGCCAGCAGCCGCGGUAAUACGGAGGGUGCAAGCGUUGUUCGGAAUUACUGGGCGUAAAGCGCGCGUAGGCGGUUUGUUAAGUCUGAUGUGAAAGCCCUGGGCUCAACCCAGGAAGUGCAUUGGAUACUGUCAGACUUGAAUACGGGAGAGGGUAGUGGAAUUCCUAGUGUAGGAGUGAAAUCCGUAGAUAUUAGGAGGAACACCGGUGGCGAAGGCGGCUACCUGGACCGAUAUUGACGCUGAGACGCGAAAGCGUGGGUAGCAAACAGGAUUAGAUACCCUGGUAGUCC